AGAGUUUGAUCCUGGCUCAGAACGUACGCUGGCGGCACGCCUAAUACAUGCAAGUCGAACGAAGUAGCAAUACUUAGUGGCAGACGGGUGAGUAACAUGUAGGUAUCUACCCUUUGGCCUGGAAUAACACGAGGAAACUUGUGCUAAUACCGGAUAAGUCUUUACGGAGAAAGCUUUAUGCACCAUUGGAUGAGCCUGCACUUGAUUAGUUUGUUGGUGGGGUAAUGGCCUACCAAGACAAUGAUCAAUAGCUGAUUUGAGAGGAUGAUCAGCCACAUUGGGACUGAGACACGGCCCAAACUCCUACGGGAGGCAGCAGUAGGGAAUCUUGCACAAUGGAGGAAACUCUGAUGCAGCGAUGCCGCGUGAGUGAAGAAGGCCUUUGGGUUGUAAAGCUCUUUCGUCGGGGAAGAAAAUGACUGUACCCGAAUAAGAAGGUCCGGCUAACUUCGUGCCAGCAGCCGCGGUAAUACGAAGGGACCUAGCGUAGUUCGGAAUUACUGGGCUUAAAGAGUUCGUAGGUGGUUAAAAAAGUUGGUGGUGAAAUCCCAGAGCUUAACUCUGGAACUGCCAUCAAAACUUUUUAGCUAGAGUAUGAUAGAGGAAAGCAGAAUUUCUAGUGUAGAGGUGAAAUUCGUAGAUAUUAGAAAGAAUACCGAUUGCGAAGGCAGCUUUCUGGAUCAUUACUGACACUGAGGAACGAAAGCAUGGGUAGCGAAGAGGAUUAGAUACCCUCGUAGUCCAUGCCGUAAACGAUGUGUGUUAGACGUUGGAAAUUUAUUUUCAGUGUCGCAGCGAAAGCGAUAAACACACCGCCUGGGGAGUACGACCGCAAGGUUAAAACUCAAAUGAAUUGACGGGGACCCGCACAAGUAGUGGAGCAUGUGGUUUAAUUCGAAGAUACGCGCAGAACCUUACCAACACUUGACAUGUUCGUCGCGACUCUAAGAGAUUAGAGUUUUCGGUUCGGCCGGACGAAACACAGGUGCUGCAUGGCUGUCGUCAGCUCGUGUCGUGAGAUGUUGGGUUAAGUCCCGCAACGAGCGCAACCCUUACUUUUAGUUGCCAUCAUUUAGUUGGGCACUCUGAAAGAACUGCCAGUGAUAAGCUGGAGGAAGGUGGGGAUGACGUCAAGUCCUCAUGGCCCUUAUGUGUUGGGCUACACACGUGCUACAAUGGUAUCUACAACAGGAAGCAAGAUGGCAACGUUAAGCAAAUCCCAAAAAGAUACCUCAGUUCGGAUUGCACUCUGCAACUCGAGUGCAUGAAGCUGGAAUUACUAGUAAUCGUGGAUCAGCGUGCCACGGUGAAUACGUUCCCGGGUCUUGUACACACCGCCCGUCACACCAUGGGAGUUGGUUCUACCUUAAGGCAAAGUUUAAAACCUUUGACCACGGUAUAGUCAGCGACUGGGGUGAAGUCGUAACAAGGUAACC
rnacentral:rRNA from 1 species